rnacentral:tRNA from 1 species
GGCGGGGUGGGGUGCCCGAUGCGGCACCCGCACAAGCUGAGACUGAACGGAUCAGACUGAAACGCUCGACGGUGACAGUGAAGGUUCGAGUCCUUCCCCCGCGACCA